GUCCUUUAGAGUAGAAUUUAAGGUUUAACCUGCCCACUGAGGAUUUAAAUGGCCGCAGUAUUUUGACUGUGCAAAGGUAGCAUAAUCAUUAGUUUUUUAAUUGAAAGCUUGUAUGAAUGGUUGGACGAGAUAUAAACUGUCUUUAAAUUAAUAAUAGAAUUUAACUUUUAAGUUAAAAGGCUUAAAUAAUAUUAAAAGACGAGAAGACCCUAUAAAUCUUUAUAAAUUUAUUUAUAUAAUUUUUUAGGAUUAAUAAUUUUUAUAUAAAUAAUUUUAUUUUAUUGGGGUAAUAAAAAGAUUUAAAAAAUUCUUUUAAUAUGAUUACAUUGAUUAGUGUUUUUAAUGAUCCUGUAUUAUAGAUUUUAAGAUUAAGUUACUUUAGGGAUAACAGCGUAAUUUUUUUAGAGAGUUCUUAUCGAUAAAAGAGUUUGCGACCUCGAUGUUGGAUUAAAAUUAAUUUUAGGUGUAGAAGUUUAAAUUUUUAGUCUGUUCGACUAUUGAAAUUUUACAUGAUCUGAGUUCAAACCGGUGUAAGCCAGGUUGGUUUCUAUCUUUAAUUAAAAAUAAUAUUUUAGUACGAAAGGACCAAGUAUUAAAUAUGAAAUAUUUUUUUAUUGAAUAAAAUUAAUAUUUG
rnacentral:rRNA from 1 species